rnacentral:rRNA from 1 species
GGAAUAUUGGUCAAUGGACGAGAGUCUGAACCAGCCAAGUAGCGUGCAGGACGACGGCCCUAUGGGUUGUAAACUGCUUUUAUGCGGGGAUAAAGUGACGUACGUGUACGUUUUUGUAGGUACCGCAUGAAUAAGGACCGGCUAAUUCCGUGCCAGCAGCCGCGGUAAUACGGAAGGUCCGGGCGUUAUCCGGAUUUAUUGGGUUUAAAGGGAGCGCAGGCCGGAGGUCAAGCGUGACGUGAAAUGUAGCCGCUCAACGGCUGAGUUGCGUCGCGAACUGGCUUUCUUGAGUGAGUACGACGUCAGCGGAAUUCGUGGUGUAGCGGUGAUAUGCUUAGAUAUCACGAAGAACCCCGAUUGCGAAGGCAGCUGACGAGUCCUUUACUGACGCUAAAGCUCGAAGGUGCGGGUAUCGAACA